CUUUAGAUCUCGGAUGGACGUCCUGGCUGAACAUGAGAUCUGCUGACCGGAUGCAGACUUCUGAUCUACCUGAAGAUGUUCAUGCUGCAUGGAUCAUCGUGCUUCCAGUGCUGCAGUGACCACAUGAGGGCGCACUCGUCCCACAGCGACAUGCUGAGAGCGCCUCGCUUUAACGAUGCGGCGCUGAUGAACGAUGGGUUUGUCCUUGAGAGGAUUGACUGAUGAACAUGUGAGCUGGGUUCAGGAAUCCAAGUCAGGUUGUAAAUUUGCUGCAUCACCCCUGAGGGAUUCUCCGACAUGAACGGUGAGACACUAAAAUCUGCACAAGGAUCACUUUUCAAAGGGGGUCAGCCACGCAACACCACUGGCGAUCCUUAACGCCGUGAUCCCACAUCAGCGCCCCGAGGGACUCCAUGCAGUCGUUUUGGGUUGAUGAGACGCCUGCGGUCCGAAGGGCCACAUUUCAGUCUUGCAGUUUUAAGCAGAGUGUCUCUAGUUCCAGAUCUUGAGUUCACGAAGUCUAAGUGUAUUUAGUCCUGCUCUGUAGCUGCACCACAUGUCAGUAGAAUCCUUCAUUAGCUUUAUUAGAACAUGCCGAUGUGUAGAUCUGUAAAGUGUUGGAUGUCCCAAACUUUCCAUGCAUUCAGUUAUAUUCAUCUGUUAUGUGUCAGUGUUCAAGACCAGUCCCAAAAUAUAUUAGUGACUUCAGCGAGCAUUCCCUUUAUGAAUUUUUUUUUUUGGGGGGGUGGUUUUUUCUUCCUUUUUCAAUUUAACAGAUGAACCCGAGAGUCUGCUGAGGAACAAACGGAGGUCUGAGUGGAGCUGUGUGAUGCUGGUUUUCAAUAAAAAGAAUUAAAUGAAAUAAAA